rnacentral:rRNA from 1 species
AUGUGUUGUUGGGUAGGGGAGCGUUCUGUAAGCCUGCGAAGGUGUGCUGUGAGGCAUGCUGGAGGUAUCAGAAGUGCGAAUGCUGACAUAAGUAACGAUAAAGCGGGUGAAAAGCCCGCUCGCCGGAAGACCAAGGGUUCCUGUCCAACGUUAAUCGGGGCAGGGUGAGUCGACCCCUAAGGCGAGGCCGAAAGGCGUAGUCGAUGGGAAACAGGUUAAUAUUCCUGUACUUGGUGUUACUGCGAAGGGGGGACGGAGAAGGCUAUGUUAGCCGGGCGACGGUUGUCCCGGUUUAAGCAUGUAGGCUGGUUGUCCAGGCAAAUCCGGAUAAUCAAGGCUGAGGUGUGAUGACGAGGCACUACGGUGCUGAAGUAACAAAUGCCCUGCUUCCAGGAAAAGCCUCUAAGCAUCAGGUAACAUCAAAUCGUACCCCAAACCGACACAGGUGGUCAGGUAGAGAAUACCAAGGCGCUUGAGAGAACUCGGGUGAAGGAACUAGGCAAAAUGGUGCCGUAACUUCGGGAGAAGGCACGCUGGUGUGUAGGUGAAGCCCCUGCGGGUGGAGCUGAGACCAGUCGAAGAUACCAGCUGGCUGCAACUGUUUAUUAAAAACACAGCACUGUGCAAACACGAAAGU